AGUAACGGCGAGUGAAGCGGCAACAGCUCAAAUUUGAAAUCUGGCCUCGGCCCGAGUUGUAAUUUGCAGAGGAUGCUUUUGGCGAGGCGCCUUCCGAGUUCCCUGGAACGGGACGCCAGAGAGGGUGAGAGCCCCGUAUGGUUGGACGCCGAGCCUCUGUAAAGCUCCUUCGACGAGUCGAGUAGUUUGGGAAUGCUGCUCAAAAUAGGAGGUAAAUUUCUUCUAAAGCUAAAUACAGGCCAAAGACCGAUAGCGCACAAGUAGAGUGAUCGAAAGAUGAAAAGCACUUUGAAAAGAGGGUUAAACAGUACGUGAAAUUGUUGAAAGGGAAGCGCUCAUGACCAGACUUGUGCCCUGUGGAUAAGCCAGCGUUCUCGCUGGUGUUUCCGCUCGGCUCAGGCCAGCAUCGGUUCUCUUGGGGGGACAAAAGCCCUGGGAACGUGGCUCCUCCGGGAGUGUUAUAGCCCACCGCACAAUAUCCCCAGGGGGACCGAGGACCGCGCUUCGGCAAGGAUGCUGGCGUAAUGGUCAUCAGCGACCCGUCUUGAAACACGGACCAAGGAGUCAAGCAUUAGGGCGAGUGUUUGGGUGUAAAACCCGCACGCGUAAUGAAAGUGAAUGCAGGUGAGAGCUUCGGCGCAUCAUCGACCGAUCCUGAUGUACUCGGAUGGAUUUGAGUAAGAGCCUUACCGCUUGGACCCGAAAGUUGAUGAACUAUGCCUGUAUAGGGUGAAGCCAGAGGAAACUCUGGUGGAGGCUCGCAGCGGUUCUGACGUGCAAAUCGAUCGUCAAAUAUAGGCAUGGGGGCGAAAGACUAAUCGAAUCAACUAGUAGCUGGUUACCGCCGAAGUUUCCCUCAGGAUAGCAGUGUUGUUUUCAGUUUUAUGAGGUAAAGCGAAUGAUUAGGGACUCGGGGGCGCUAUUUAGCCUUCAUCCAUUCUCAAACUUUAAAUAUGUAAGAAGCCCUUGUUACUUUACUGAACGUGGGCCUUCGAAUGUAUCAACACUAGUGGGCCAUUUUUGGUAAGCAGAACUGGCGAUGCGGGAUGAACCGAACGCGGGGUUAAGGUGCCGGAGUGGACGCUCAUCAGACACCA
rnacentral:rRNA from 1 species